UACGUCGGGUGCGAGCGUUAAUCGGAAUUACUGGGCGUAAAGCGUGCGCAGGCGGCGCGUUAAGACAGGUGUGAAAGCCCCGAGCUUAACUUGGGAAUUGCGCUUGUGACUGGCGUGCUGGAGUGUGGCAGAGGGAGGUGGAAUUCCACGUGUAGCAGUGAAAUGCGUAGAGAUGUGGAGGAACACCGAUGGCGAAGGCAGCCUCCUGGGCCAGCACUGACGCUCAUGCACGAAAGCGUGGGGAGCAAACAGG
rnacentral:rRNA from 1 species